UCCCCCUUCUUCCAUCCCCCGGGUCUGGAGGGGUCCCUACAGAUCUUAAAAUGACCACACCGCGCCCUCCACCCCAGAUUAACCUUUAAAGACUCAUGUGGCCUGAGGAAGAAGUCCAGAAGAGAAGAAAGAGGAGACAGGGAUGGCUCUUUCUCAAGGAAGGUUGACAUUCAGGGACGUGGCCAUCGAAUUCUCUCAGGAGGAGUGGAAAUGCCUGGACCCUGCUCAGAGGGCUUUGUACAGGGACGUGAUGUUGGAGAACUACAGGAACCUGGUCUCCCUGGCAGGAAUCUCUCUUUCUGAAAUGAGUAUUACCUCCAUGUUGGGGCAAGGGAAAGAGCCCUGGACUGUGGAGAGUGAAGUGAAAAUAACAAAAACAUCAAGUGGUUGGGAAUGCAUCAAAGGUGUGAACACAGAUGGAGUCUUGCACUGUCGCCCAGGUUGGAGUGCAUUGGCCCGAUCUUGGCUCACCACAACCUCCGCCUCCUGGAUUCCAGCAAUUCUGCCUCAGCCUCCCAAGUAGCUGGGACUACAGGCGCGUGCCACCACACCCGGUUAAUUUUUUGUAUUUUUUAGUAGAUACGGGGUUUCACCAUAUCGGCCAGGCUGGUCUCGAACUCCUGACCUCGUGAUCUGCCUGCCUCAGCCUCCCAAAGUGCUGGGAUUACAGGCUUGAGCUCCUGCGCCCAGCCCAUGCUAAGUCUUUUACCCAGUGGUCAAAACUGGCACAACACAGGAUUUAUACUGGAGAGCAACCUCACAAAUGUAAUGAAAGUGGUAAGGCUUUUUAUCAAAUGUCCUUGUCUUUGGGGUCAUGAGAAAAUUCAUACAGAAUCUAUUAAAAAUGUACUAAACAUGGAAAGACCUUUAAGCAACAGUGAUGUGAUGAAGGUGGUAGUUUUUUAAAUGAACUCCCAUAAGAGUCUACACACCAUAGAACUCAUACCAGGAAUCACAAAGUCUCUAAAUUUCCAAAGUUAACUGGAAAUAUUACAAACUGCAGAAUAAUUCCAGGCCAAAAUAUGUUAAAUUCAUAACAUGAUGUAUAUCAAAGGAAAAAAGGACAUGUGGAAAUGACACAUUAUCUUCAGUGUAUAAAAUAUUCAUUUAUGUGAAGUUUCUUGGAAAGGCUACACUACUAUUACUGGUUUCCGUCUGAUGUUUGAGAUCUGUUGAUUUUAUGCUUUUCUUACAGGCCUUUCAUUAUGAUCUUUGGGAAGGAAUCAAUAAAAUGAUAGGGCCUACUUCAUUAGGUGUGGUUCAUUCCUAUUCAUGCUCCCUGGAAGAACAAGAAUGCUGAAUUUUGAAAUUUAAUAUUGUAUGAAUUAGCAUCAGGGAGAGGUGGAGAAAAAUACAAAACUAAAAGUCAUGCUUAUUGUGUUCAGUGUGCCCUUCUCCAGAGGGCCACUGGCUUAUAGGAAAGGAUUGCUGCUCUACCAGUUGACCAGGAGAUGGCACGCCAGGACAUUAAGACACUGGAGUUUUGUUUCGUUUUUUUUUUUUUUUUGAGAUGGAGUCUCGCUCUCUUGACAGGCAGGAGUACAGUGGUGCGAUCUCGGCUCACUGCAAACUCCGCCUCCCGGGUUCAAGUGAUUCUCCUGCCUCAGCCUCCCGAGUAGCUGGGACUACAGGCGUGUGCCACCACCCCCAGCUAACUUUUGUAUUUUUAGUAGAGACAGGGUUUCACCAUGUUAGCCAGGAUGGUCUCAAUCUCUUGACCUCAUGAUCCGCCCGCCUCCGCCUUCCAAAGUGCUGGGAUUACAGGCGUGAGCCAGUGUGCCCGGCCGACACUGGGCUUUUUAUGAGAGUGACAGAUUACUAGGACCUCAUUAUGUGGUAGAAGUAAUGUAGGGGAAAUGGCGAUUAUCUUUUUUUAAAAGCAAUAGCUGUUGUAUAUCAAUGAUAAAUGAAAAAUUAGUUAUUCUUGUAAAUUGAAGAAAGAAUGGUUAUCAUAGAGGGUAGUUCAAGUAAAAGAACCAGGGCUGGGUGUGGUGGCUCACGUUCUGUAAUCCCUGUACUUUGGGAGGCCAAGGCAGAUGGAUCUCUUGAGGCCAGGAGUUCGAGACCAGCCUGACCAACAUGGCAAAACCGUGUCUCUACAAAAAAUACAAAAAUUAGCCGGACAUCGUGGUAGAUGCCUGUAAUCUCAGAUAUUCAGGAGACCGAGGGGAAAAUCACUUGAACCCGGGAGACGGAGGUUGCAGUGAGCUGAGAUCGCACCACUGCUCGCCAGCCUGGGCAACAGAGUGAGACUCUGCCUCAAAAAAAAACCAAACCAAACCAAAGAACCAGAAUAGCAUGUGCACAUAUACACAGACGUUUCACAACUGGCAUUAUGUUU
rnacentral:lncRNA from 1 species